rnacentral:rRNA from 1 species
UAAUACGUAGGUGGCAAGCGUUGUCCGGAAUUAUUGGGCGUAAAGCGCGCGCAGGCGGCUUCUUAAGUCUGAUGUGAAAUCUCGGGGCUCAACCCCGAGCGGCCAUUGGAAACUGGGAAGCUUGAGUGCAGAAGAGGAGAGUGGAAUUCCACGUGUAGCGGUGAAAUGCGUAGAUAUGUGGAGGAACACCAGUGGCGAAGGCGACUCUCUGGUCUGUAACUGACGCUGAGGCGCGAAAGCGUGGGGAGCAAACAGGAUUAGAUACCCUGGUAGUCCACGCCGUAAACGAUGAGUGCUAGGUGUUAGGGGUUUCGAUGCCCGUAGUGCCGAAGUAAACACAUUAAGCACUCCGCCUGGGGAGUACGACCGCAAGGUUG